rnacentral:rRNA from 1 species
AUGAACGCUAGCGGGAGGCCUAACACAUGCAAGCCGAGCGGUAUAAUUCUUUCGGGAAUUAGAGAGCGGCGCACGGGUGCGGAACACGUGUGCAACCUGCCUUUAUCUGGGGGAUAGCCUUCCGAAAGGGAGAUUAAUACCCCAUAAUAUAUUGACUGGCAUCAGUUAAUAUUGAAAACUCCGGUGGAUAGAGAUGGGCACGCGCAAGAUUAGAUAGUUGGUGAGGUAACGGCUCACCAAGUCAGUGAUCUUUAGGGGGCCUGAGAGGGUGAUCCCCCAAACUGGUACUGAGACACGGACCAGACUCCUACGGGAGGCAGCAGUGAGGAAUAUUGGACAAUGGGUGAGAGCCUGAUCCAGCCAUCCCGCGUGAAGGACGACGGCCCUAUGGGUUGUAAACUUCUUUUGUACAGGGAUAAACCUAGAUACGUGUAUCUAGCUGAAGGUACUGUACGAAUAAGCACCGGCUAACUCCGUGCCAGCAGCCGCAGUAACAC